GGGGGGGAAGAAGGAAAUUGACAGGGGUAGGGGGAGAGAUUGACAUCCAUCACACACACACACAAUGCACCCCUUGCACACAGAAAAACACGCAAUGCAUUACACACAGACACAUACACAAGCAAUGCAUCCCUUACACACAGCAACACACAAUGCACCCCUUACACACACUCAGUGCAUCCCUUACAGACGCACACACUGCAUCCCAUACAUACACAAAC